AUUGAACGCUGGCGGCAGGCCUAACACAUGCAAGUCGAGCGAGCGGCGGACGGGUGAGUAAUGUCUGGGAAACUGCCUGAUGGUGGUGGAUAACUCAUGGAAACGGUCGUUAAUACCGCAUACUAUCAGAUCUGCCCAGAUGGGAUUAGCUAGUAGUUGGGGUAAAGGCUCACCUAGGCGACGAUUCCUAGCUGGUCUGAGAGGAUGACCAGCCACACUGGAACUGAGACACGGUCCAGACGCCUACGGGAGGCAGCAGUGGGGAAUAUUGCACGAUGGGCGCAAGCCUGAUGCAGCCAUGCCGCGUGUGUGAAGAAGGCCUUCGGGUUGUAAAGCACUUUCAGCGGGGAGGCGUUACCCGCAGAAGAAGCACCGGCUAACUCCGUGCCAGCCGCCGCGGUAAUAC
rnacentral:rRNA from 1 species